GUGGCCGGCAUGGCCCCAGCCUCCUCGCUGGCGCCGGCUGGGCAACGAUCCGAGGGGACUGUCCCUCUCGAGAAUCGGCAAAUGGGGCCCC
rfam:Hepatitis D virus genomic RNA, complete genome, isolate:VnzD8375.